rnacentral:tRNA from 1 species
CGUCGGCCAACAAGGCACUUUGGCGGAGUGGUUAACGCGAUGCCCUGCUAUGCAUAAAAUGUAAGCCUAGGCAUUUCCCUCGGGAGCGUGAGUUCGAAUCUCACAGGUGUCGGG